CAGUCGCCGCGGUAAUACGUAGGGUGCGAGCGUUAAUCGGAAUUACUGGGCGUAAAGCGUGCGCAGGCGGUUGUGCAAGACAGAUGUGAAAUCCCCGAGCUUAACUUGGGAACUGCAUUUGUGACUGCACGGCUAGAGUGUGUCAGAGGGGGGUAGAAUUCCACGUGUAGCAGUGAAAUGCGUAGAUAUGUGGAGGAAUACCGAUGGCGAAGGCAGCCCCCUGGGAUAACACUGACGCUCAUGCACGAAAGCGUGGGGAGCAAACAGGAUUAGAUACCCGCGUAGUCCCUGUCUCUUAUAC
rnacentral:rRNA from 1 species